GACGAACGCUGGCGGCGUGCUUAACACAUGCAAGUCGAACGGAAAGGCCCUGCUUUUGUGGGGUGCUCGAGUGGCGAACGGGUGAGUAACACGUGAGUAACCUGCCCUUGACUUUGGGAUAACUUCAGGAAACUGGGGCUAAUACCGGAUAGGAGCUCCUGCUGCAUGGUGGGGGUUGGAAAGUUUCGGCGGUUGGGGAUGGACUCGCGGCUUAUCAGCUUGUUGGUGGGGUAGUGGCUUACCAAGGUUUUGACGGGUAGCAGGCCUGGGAGGGUGAACGGCCACAUUGGGACUGAGAUACGGACCAGACGGCUACGGGAGGCAGCAGUGGGGAAUAUUGCACAAUGGGCGGAAGCCUGAUGCAGCAACGCCGCGUGCGGGAUGACGGCCUUCGGGUUGUAAACCGCUUUCGCCUGUGACGAAGCGUGAGUGACGGUAAUGGGUAAAGAAGCACCGGCUAACUACGUG
rnacentral:rRNA from 1 species